GUGCUUGCUUUUGGUAGCACAUAAUAUUGCAAUGAUACAGAGAAGAUUAGCAUGGCCCCUGCACAAGGAUAAAAAAUAUCUAAAAAAAAAAAAUGGAAAAAUCUU